GUUGUUGUGGCCGAGUGGUUAAGGCGAUGGAUUUGAAAUCCAUUGGGGUUUCCCUGCAGCAGGUUCAAAUCCUGCCAACAAUG